rnacentral:rRNA from 1 species
CCUACGGGAGGCAGCAGUGGGGAAUAUUGGACAAUGGGGGGAACCCUGAUCCAGCCAUGCCGCGUGUGUGAAGAAGGCCCUCGGGUUGUAAAGCACUUUCAGUGAGGAAGAACGCCUGGUGGUUAAUACCCAUCAGGAAAGACAUCACUCACAGAAGAAGCACCGGCUAACUCCGUGCCAGCAGCCGCGGUAAUACGGAGGGUGCGAGCGUUAAUCGGAAUUACUGGGCGUAAAGCGCGCGUAGGUGGCUUGAUAAGCCGGUUGUGAAAGCCCCGGGCUCAACCUGGGAACGGCAUCCGGAACUGUCAAGCUAGAGUGCAGGAGAGGAAGGUAGAACUCCCGGUGUAGCGGUGAAAUGCGUAGAGAUCGGGAGGAAUACCAGUGGCGAAGGCGGCCUUCUGGACUGACACUGACACUGAGGUGCGAAAGCGUGGGUAGCAAACAGGAUUAGAUACCCGAGUAGUC